UACGGGGGGGGGCAAGCGUUGUUCGGAAUUACUGGGCGUAAAGGGCUCGUAGGUUGCCAACUAAGUCAGACGUGAAAUCCCUCGGCUUAACCGGGGAACUGCGUCUGAUACUGGAUGGCUUGAGUUCGGGAGAGGGAUGCGGAAUUCCAGGUGUAGCGGUGAAAUGCGUAGAUAUCUGGAGGAACACCGGUGGCGAAGGCGGCAUCCUGGACCGACACUGACACUGAGACGCGAAAGCGUGGGGAGCAAACAGG
rnacentral:rRNA from 1 species